GCGAAAGCAAAUUCACUACAUGUCUGACUCAGAGAAGACUUUGCAGUUGGAGGGAUCCAUGAACUUGAGAAAGACCCAGGAGUUGCAGUGUUAGAAGCCAGUAUGCUCUCCCUCAGUGUUACAGAGGAAGAUCUUCAUGACUCUCCAGAUGAAGAAGCAGUCAAUGACCUGAGGAAUAGCACGCAAGUCUUGAUCAGUCAUCGUUUUAUUUAUUUUUUUACCAACCUGUAUGGCUCUGUGUUUAUGUUCAGAAUUGACAUGGAUGAGCGGUGGACUAACCGUAGAUGCUGUGAAGAUGAAGACAGAUCUGAUGAGGACUAUGUUCCUUUUCUUUAGCUACGUGUUGGUGGUGCAGCCUCAAAUGCCACUGACAUCAACCGGCUUCACAAGAUAAGUAUGGAUGAAGCUGUGCUUGAUGUAGUGGUGCCAGAUCCCCCAGAAGAGGACAUGUCUGGCAUUCCUGACCAACAAAAGGUUGAUUGUGAAGACGACCUGGUUGGUAAAAGUGCCUGCAUCGCAUCAACCUGAAGACCCUUGCCUCGUAUCUCCAGUUGCCCAUACAAGUGUGCAAGCAUGUUAACAAAGCAACUGGAGGUUCAUGUCCUGGUAUACCACCUUUUGAACUUUCACUGAACCCUUGUGGAAAUUGA